UUGAACGCUGGCGGCAUGCUUUACACAUGCAAGUCGAACGGCAGCACGGAGCUUGCUCUGGUGGCGAGUGGCGAACGGGUGAGUAAUAUAUCGGAACGUACCCAAGAGUGGGGGAUAACGUAGCGAAAGUUACGCUAAUACCGCAUACGAUCUAAGGAUGAAAGCAGGGGACCGCAAGGCCUUGUGCUCCUGGAGCGGCCGAUAUCUGAUUAGCUAGUUGGUAGGGUAAAGGCCUACCAAGGCAUCGAUCAGUAGCUGGUCUGAGAGGACGACCAGCCACACUGGAACUGAGACACGGUCCAGACUCCUACGGGAGGCAGCAGUGGGGAAUUUUGGACAAUGGGCGCAAGCCUGAUCCAGCAAUGCCGCGUGAGUGAAGAAGUCCUUCGGGUUGUAAAGCUCUUUUGUCAGGGAAGAAACGGGUGAGGCUAAUAUCCUCAUCUAAUGACGGUACCUGAAGAAUAAGCACCGGCUAACUACGU
rnacentral:rRNA from 1 species